rnacentral:lncRNA from 1 species
AAGAAGAAACACAUUUUUGCCUGUCUCUUUCGCUUUCUGCACUGUAGGCUCCCGUUGGACAGAUGCCUGUUUUUAUUUGGGCCAGAAGUUCCACAACUUAGUGCUGGUCCUGGUCCACUGAGGACAGAAAGGAUUGCAGAGACGCAUUUGAUCUUGGAUAGAAGGACGGCUUCCUGAAACAAGACCGUACCACCAGGUGAAAAAAAUCAACUUUGAAAAGAGAGAAACAAAGAGCAAUCUAAG